rnacentral:rRNA from 2 species
UUAAGCGACUAAGCGUACACGGUGGAUGCCCUGGCAGUCAGAGGCGAUGAAGGACGUGCUAAUCUGCGAUAAGCGUCGGUAAGGUGAUAUGAACCGUUAUAACCGGCGAUUUCCGAAUGGGGAAACCCAGUGUGAUUCGUCACACUAUCAUUAACUGAAUCCAUAGGUUAAUGAGGCGAACCGGGGGAACUGAAACAUCUAAGUACCCCGAGGAAAAGAAAUCAACCGAGAUUCCCCCAGUAGCGGCGAGCGAACGGGGAGGAGCCCAGAGCCUGAAUCAGUGUGUGUGUUAGUGGAAGCGUCUGGAAAGGCGCGCGAUACAGGGUGACAGCCCCGUACACAAAAAUGCACAUGCUGUGAGCUCGAUGAGUAGGGCGGGACACGUGGUAUCCUGUCUGAAUAUGGGGGGACCAUCCUCCAAGGCUAAAUACUCCUGACUGACCGAUAGUGAACCAGUACCGUGAGGGAAAGGCGAAAAGA